rnacentral:tRNA from 1 species
GCCGAGGUGGUGUAGCGGUCAACAUCGGGGACUGUGGAUCCCCUGACCCGGGUUCGAAUCCCGGCCUCGGCC